CAGCGACAACUUUUAGAACUGUCUCCACGUGUUUCUAUUCAACUACACCUCAAACUCCAACUAGCGCCUAUUUUUUCUAUUCAUCCCUCUAAUUUUCCUUCACCCACUUUCUCUAUCCUUCACAUUUGAAUUUGGCUUUCAUAUUUUUGCGCUACACGUUCCCCUAAGAAACCCUAUCCUUUCCCCCAAAUCACAAUCCCUCAAUCUCACUAUCUGAAAUCAAUUUCUGUAAGUAAUAUCUCUAUCUUCCCCAAAUUUCAUUGUGUCAAGUCUUUCAAUCUCUCUCUUUCUCUCUUCAACAAACAAUGGCAAACACUAGGCUUCGAUUUCACGUAAAAAGAUCUGUCACUUUUGGUUUUCACCAGAGACUCUAUUGUUCGGCUAUGGCAUCUCAAAGUCGAAGCGGCGGUGUUUCUCUACCUAACAGACCAAACAAUUCCCAAGACUCCAUCAUCACCUAGAUAUCGCGCUCCCCCAUCGCCUCCUGGAGCAAACAAGCCUACACUGACACCUCAAUCAUCCCUAACAAACUCCUCAAAAGCACCGAUCACUUGGAUCACUAGAACCACCUUCCUUGUGCUCUUCGUUCCUUUUAUCAACGAAAAGAAUUGUGAGCAGCAGCUCAACGAUCUUGAAGUCCAGCAGGCCAGUAUCCCUGGUACUCCUCCUAAAUGAUUGUCAUCACGUCUAUGAAAAUUAGGUCUUGGUAUGCAGAGAUAUCGAUUGUUUAUUGAUUAAGAAUUUUGAUCUCUUUUUAGGGUUUCUAAUUGCAAUAAUUGUAUGAUUUGCACGUUUUUAGGAAUUUCACAGUAAUUACAAGUUUUGUGUAUUCUUACGCAGUGAUACUAUUAUCUUAGUUUCAGUGUGGAAUUCUUGGUUACUUGAUUUGAUAAAUAAAAUAUGCAUAGGAAUGAAAUUCUAUUAUUCUAGAGACACCAUUUCAAGAUAGUUUGCUGAAGCAUGUUGCUAAAGAGAGACACAAUUUAAUUAGCAUAUUUAUAAUUUAUAUUUAGUUGGCCUUGUUUUAGAAGCUAUAUAUUUGAAUGUUGCUUAAGAAGUUAUGAGAGUUGGUUGCAUCAUAGGUGAUAGAAUUAGUGGGUUUGUCAUGGAGUUUUUGAGUCUUGGUAAGUUAAAUCUUAUUUUACAGGUGAUAGAAGAUGCAUUCUAAGUUUUAUUAUAUGAAACAUAAGCAUCUCCUGCGAAUUGUUAGUUAAAUGGCUUUACAAGAGAUUCUUGUUCGUACAGUAGGGGAAGAUGUCAUUAUGAAUUCCAGUAAUGUUGUUGAUUUUGUUGAUCAUGGAACUAAGGUAAUUAUAGAAACUUUUAAAUUGAAGAUACUCCUCACAUUCUAUUAUAGGUAUUAUUUUGAAGACUAAUAUGACUAGACAUUAUUUGGCUUAUCAAUCGUGUCACGUCACAUUCAUCAAUUAUGUUGUAGGUUUCAGUGGUGCUGGAGAAUUGUCAAAAAUAUGAUUGAGAUCUCUUGGUUGGACAUGGAGUUUUUGAGUCUUGGUAAGUUAAAUCUUAUUUUACAGGUGAUAGAAGAUGCAUUCUAAGUUUUAUUAUAUGAAACAUAAGCAUCUCCUGCGAAUUGUUAGUUAAAUGGCUUUACAAGAGAUUCUUGUUCGUACAGUAGGGGAAGAUGUCAUUAUGAAUUCCAGUAAUGUUGUUGAUUUUGUUGAUCAUGGAACUAAGGUAAUUAUAGAAACUUUUAAAUUGAAGAUACUCCUCACAUUCUAUUAUAGGUAUUAUUUUGAAGACUAAUAUGACUAGACAUUAUUUGGCUUAUCAAUCGUGUCACGUCACAUUCAUCAAUUAUGUUGUAGGUUUCAGUGGUGCUGGAGAAUUGUCAAAAAUAUGAUUGAGAUCUCUUGGUUGGACAUGGAGUUUUUGAGUCUUGGUAAGUUAAAUCUUAUUUUACAGGUGAUAGAAGAUGCAUUCUAAGUUUUAUUAUAUGAAACAUAAGCAUCUCCUGCGAAUUGUUAGUUAAAUGGCUUUACAAGAGAUUCUUGUUCGUACAGUAGGGGAAGAUGUCAUUAUGAAUUCCAGUAAUGUUGUUGAUUUUGUUGAUCAUGGAACUAAGGUAAUUAUAGAAACUUUUAAAUUGAAGAUACUCCUCACAUUCUAUUAUAGGUAUUAUUUUGAAGACUAAUAUGACUAGACAUUAUUUGGCUUAUCAAUCGUGUCACGUCACAUUCAUCAAUUAUGUUGUAGGUUUCAGUGGUGCUGGAGAAUUGUCAAAAAUAUGAUUGAGAUCUCUUGGUUGGAGCAGAUGGGAUUUGGUCCUAGGUGAGGACAAAGUUAUUCGGGGCAACAGAAGUUACAUACUCUGGCUACACUUGUUAUACUGGUAUAGCAUAUUUCAUGCCUCUUGACAUUGAAUCUGUUGGGUAAGUUUUCCAUUUUUCUAACUUAAAAUGGCAAUUUAACUAUACUUGCUAGCCUUCAUUUUUUGUUUAUGUGAAAAAGCAUAUAUACCAUGUUGAGAAGCUCACUUGAACUUCUAUGGUGAAAGAUACCGAGUCUUCUUAGGACACAAACAAUAUAUUGUAUCAUCCGAUGUCGGUGCUGGAAAGAUGCAAUGAUACGCAUGGCGGUCAUCGAUGGUCUUCAAGCAACCAAAUUGAUUUGAUAUACAAGAAGGAACUCUUCCAAGAGAAACUCUAAUGCAGCCCUUAGAUACUAUUGUAUUUAGAUGGAUAAAAAUGCAAUGGUUAAUCUCAUGUAACUUUUAUAUAUAUAUAUAUAUAUA